CCCGCAGCCUGAUCCCUCAACUGAGGCAGGGUCAGAGGGCUAAGGGUGACUUACUACCCAGCGUCCUGUUCUCUGCAGCGUGGCUCGACUUUCGGGCGGCUGGCGAGGAUGCUAAUCCACAAGGUUCCUGAGCCCAACAUCCCUCCCUCCUCUCUGAAUCCGCUAUUUCAAACAAAUCUGGGUUCUGCCCGCCGGGUGGCGCAAUGACAGGAGCCACCAGGUGACCCUGGUAACUCGCGCACCUAGGUUUCUUACAACAUGCCUGACUUGUCUCCACUCAAGGAUUUAGGGCUCAUCCGUAUCAUAGCAUAAUCAACUCCGUUCAUCUUUAUGGGGAGGACAAUGUUACCACUGCAAGGGGAAGCUGAGGACAAAGGGCCCUUUGUGAGGAUGGUCCCCACCUGAGCAGCAGCACCCAGGGCCGCACCUGAUGGUAGAGCAGCCCUUCCUCUCCUUCCAUCCCCUGCGCGGAGCUGGCUUCCAGAAAUGACCUGGGGAAGCUGUGCAGGCCUGAACUGACUUCCCCAAACGACUCUGCUGGCCCAUCCCAUGCCAGUGAGAAGGAGAGGCAGGGGCAAUGGUUCCUAGUGAAGGACCUGGAUACAGGAUACACAGGUUCCUUCCCUCAAUCUCUAAAGUUUGAGACCUUGGGCGGAUGCUGGCCCGUGGGAGGCCUGGCAAGUGCGAAGUAUUUGUCUUAUCCAUUGCAACAUCUGUAUGGGACAUACUUCACAGCUGGGCUCCCAAGGGAGUGUUUCUGAAGAAAAAGAAAAGGAAACUUAAAAAAACCAAACACUUUAUGGGAUGUAUUUAUAUGCUAGUACUCCAGUAUCGGGGAGACUGGAGGCUGCGAAGAGUCCUAGCAGCUGCAGACCCGUCCUUACCCAGGAGAAGUUCACUGCAGGUGUGGAGGUAUAAACACUAUUGGGUUGUUUGACGAUGCAAACAUGGGUAAUUUAUAUGCCAAAACAGCAAGAGCAAAAAAUGAGAUGCUAAAGACAGAUUGUUAAAAACAGUAGAGGUAAUUCACAAGAUAAGGCACAAGAUCUCUAAGACAUACAGAGUCUGAAGGAGGACUGAAGGAAAUCCCGCAACUCCCCCAGCGGUGCCCGAGAACCUUUCGGCUGGUGGAACCAUUGCACACACCCUUCCUCCUGCUGCAGAGCACCUCUCUAGUAUCAUUUGUGUGCAGGGCCCGAGUGGCCCCUAACAUGAGGAAGCAGAGUUGCUAUCAAGCCUGUGGCCUGUAUUACCAGCACUGAGGAAGACAGAGUCAUGAGGAUUGUUUGUUGUCAUCCUGGACUAUACAGUUCAAGG